rnacentral:rRNA from 1 species
UGGGGAAUAUUGCACAAUGGGCGCAAGCCUGAUGCAGCAACGCCGCGUGAACGAUGAAGGUCUUCGGAUCGUAAAGUUCUGUUGCAGGGGAAGAUAAUGACGGUACCUGACUAAGAAGCCCCGGCUAACUACGUGCCAGCAGCCGCGGUAAUACGUAGGGGGCAAGCGUUAUCCGGAUUUACUGGGUGUAAAGGGAGCGCAGACGGUUUUGCAAGUCUGAAGUGAAAGCCCGAGGCUUAACCUCGGAGUUGCUUUGGAAACUGUAUAACUAGAGUAUCGGAGAGGUAAGUGGAAUUCCUAGUGUAGCGGUGAAAUGCGUAGAUAUUAGGAGGAACACCGGUGGCGAAGGCGGCUUACUGGACGAAAACUGACGUUGAGGCUCGAAGGCGUGGGGAGCAAACAGG